GAAACUAAUACCUUCCAGGAAACUUCUUUCUCACCUUCUAAGAGUCAUACACCAGGGUGAGGAGCAGCUGGCCAGGCUGUCCAUGAGCAGAGACAGCUGGCAAGUACCGCUACAAGGUUUCUGCAGAGCCAAAUUCAAGACAUUAGCAAUAAAAAUGAAUUUCAUUGUAUUCAGCUGUUCAGAAACAAACGUAAGGAAAAAACAGAACAGGCAACAACAAUGGAUCUAUUCUUGUUAAGAGGUGUUGAUUGAACUAUGCAGACCUUUAAGAGGAAGACGUUGGAGUCACCACUCCUGUAACAACUUUAUCAUUUAGCUACAGUAUAGUCAGGCAAGGAAUCAACUAAGGGACCUGCUGUGAACGUGCCCAGUGUCAAGAGGAAGAAAAUGGUCAUUGCUAUAAGCAAAACAAAGGGAGAAAUAAGCCCUGGACUUGUUCAGGUGAAGAGAAACUCACACCCAUUCCAGUCCCCCUUGACUUGUUCCACCUCAGAUCCUGCCGCCCUCUUAGACUAUCAUGGUUUCAGAAAUGAUCUAACAAGCAUCUGGGAGCCACUGCUGGCAGGGGCAGCCGAGUUCCAGCAGUGUUGUCUGUGCCAGGCCAUCCCUCUCAUUUGCCAGCCAGAAAUAAAAAGAUGUGCUCCCUGUAAGAGGACUUUGAAGGGAGGGUGGCCAUCAUGUUCACCACAAUUAGAGAGAAGACUUGUAAAAAGUAUACUAUGGGAUUAUAAAAGAACAACCUUGCUACUUUUUAUGUCUCUAGUUCAAAGCUGCCAAGCCUCUCUUUCUCUGCUGGAGUAAGGCUGAUUUAGACCACAAGAUACAGAUUGUUACAGAUAAAUUGCCAACUUCAGGCCAAAGUAGGAACAAAAUACAGUUUUUAAAGAGGCAGGUAGAGCUCAUAGAGAAAUGCAUCAACCCUUCCCAUUCAUCUCUGACCUUUUACAGAAUAUGAAAACUCAGUCAAUUAAAGAAAACCAAAACUAAAAAGCCAAACCAAAAACCCCAAACCAACUCCAAACUUUUUUUUCUUUAACUAAACACUACAGCUGGAUUUACUAAAAUUAUAGUCAAGACCACUGGAAAAUUGCUAGGGUGAUAAAACAGCUUGUAUCAUAACCACCACUUUCAUUCUGCUGUGUGGUUUGAGAACUCAUCUGGUUUACUCUUGGCAUUUUUCUUGUCUGAAAAUAUGUUGCUACAUGAUCCUUAGUGGUUAAAACUAUGGCUGAGUCAUUCUAGUCUGCCACAGUCAACUUAUCCUUCAGAAAGCUUGCUCCCACCACAGUGUUUGGAGAGCGAUUGGACAUGCUUUAGCUCCUGCAGAGCAUCCCACAGAAGGAGACUGUAUAUCCACAGCUUGCAACCAUACAGGAAGUUUUUUGGAAGGCACUAGCCAAGAAAAUGGAAGAAAAGUGUCUAAACAAAGUAAGAGCGAAUGCAAAGCUAAUUUCUGUAGUUGUUAGCCUCUAUCAAAUCUUGGCCAGAGAGUAUUUUAGAAAACAGACUGCUUCCUGCACAUCUCAUCUUCCACUUGUAGGCUGUCACUGAGAGAUGAGGAUCUCUCUACAGCAGAUUAUCUGUUUGACUGAUUAGUCAGAUGGGAAGAAAAAAGGGAUGCAACAAGACCAGGACUGGGAGAAAUGAGAGACUGAGACAAGGUUGACUGAGAGCGUGCAGUGGGAUGGAGAGAAGUGAGCCUGCCAAAUAAGCUCACUAGAACAAGAUCACUUUCCAUUGUCCUCCAC